rnacentral:rRNA from 1 species
AUUGAACGCUGGCGGCAUGCUUUACACAUGCAAGUCGGACGGCAGCACAGAGAAGCUUGCUUCUUGGGUGGCGAGUGGCGCACGGGUGAGUAAUAUAUCGGAACGUACCGAGUAAUGGGGGAUAACUAAUCGAAAGAUUAGCUAAUACCGCAUAUUCUCUGAGGAGGAAAGCAGGGGACCUUCGGGCCUUGCGUUAUUCUAGCGGCCGAUAUCUGAUUAGCUAGUUGGUGGGGUAAAGGCCUACCAAGGCGACGAUCAGUAGCGGGUCUGAGAGGAUGAUCCGCCACACUGGGACUGAGACACGGCCCAGACUCCUACGGGAGGCAGCAGUGGGGAAUUUUGGACAAAGGGCGCAAGCCUGAUCCAGCCAUGCCGCGUGUCUGAAGAAGGCCUUCGGGUUGUAAAGGACUUUUGUCAGGGAAGAAAAGGCUGUUGCUAAUACCGACAGCUGAUGACGGUACCUGAAGAAUAAGCACCGGCUAACUACGUG